UUUCACCCAGGUUAUCAACAUGUUAUGCCCAUCUCAAAUCACCGCUCUACCUUUCUAACGAGAGUUUGAGUAGGACAGAAACGAGGGUGGAUUCCUCAUACCGGCGACCCCAAUUUCCGGACAAGCCACACUUCGCGACCACCACCUUCGUCUCCUAACGACGAUGGCAGCGACUUCUUCUCCCUGACCCGACGUUUCAAGUCACAUCAGCGGUUGAUGGCAGUUCUAAGGUGAUGUCUGGGUGUCUUAACUUCGGUGACGAUGAUGAUAAUGGGCUCAAGAUGAACGAUUGUCUCAUUGUAUCGCUCCCCUUUUGCGAGAACUGCCAUUCAUUCUUGGAUUUGGGUUUAGGGUUGUUUUUUUGAGGUUGUUUUGCUGAGCGAUGGUUAUGAGAAAAUCAGCCUUCAGAUUCACUUACAAGGUAGGGCGUUAACUGCUGCUGCUGCUGAUGAA
rnacentral:lncRNA from 1 species